rnacentral:rRNA from 1 species
AGAGUUUGAUCCUGGCUCAGAACGAACGCUGGCGGCAGGCUUAACACAUGCAAGUCGAACGGGUGUAGCAAUACAUCAGUGGCAGACGGGUGAGUAACACGUGGGAACCUUCCUAGGGGUACGGAACAACUCAGGGAAACUUGAGCUAAUACCGUAUACGUCCGUGAGGAGAAAGAUUUAUCGCCCUUAGACGGGCCCGCGUCGGAUUAGCUAGUUGGUGGGGUAACGGCCUACCAAGGCGACGAUCCGUAGCUGAUUUGAGAGGAUGAUCAGCCACACUGGGACUGAGACACGGCCCAGACUCCUACGGGAGGCAGCAGUGGGGAAUCUUANACAAUGGGCGCAAGCCUGAUCUAGCCNUGCCGCGUGAGCGAUGAAGGCCUUAGGGUUGUAAAGCUCUUUCG